rnacentral:misc_RNA from 1 species
GCCUGCAAUGUUCUCCAUUAACCAGCUUGUUGUGGGCGUUGAAGUUGAUUCACUUGAACUUAUUAUCGAGAUCAGAAUGGGCAGCAAGUUAGAUUUCUUAAGUACAUCUGUUGCUUUCUUAUUACCAACAGGGAGAUUAUUCAAUAUUCCAACAGCAGCAGCUUUUUCACCCUCAGAUGUCGACGAAGAGACGAUAUUUACAAUGUUAUUAAGUUGAUAUUCUCCGAGCUGUUCCAUCAAUUCUUC